rnacentral:rRNA from 1 species
GACGAACGCUGGCGGCGUGCCUAAUACAUGCAAGUCGAACGCAGUUGCGAACGGGUGAGUAACGCGUAGGUAACUGCCUCAUAGCGGGGGAUAACUAUUGGAAACGAUAGCUAAUACCGCAUACUGUGAGAUGGACCUGCGUUGUAUUAGCUAGUUGGUGAGGUAAAGGCUCACCAAGGCGCCUAUACAUAGCCGACCUGGGAGGGUGAUCGGCCACAAUGGGAAUGAGAAACGGCCCAGACUCCUACGGGAGGGAGCAGGAGGGGAUCUUCGGAAAUGGGCGGAAGUCUGAACGAGCAACGGCGCGUGAGAGAAGAAGGGUUUCGGAGCGUAAAGCUCUGUUGUGAGGGGAGCGGUAACUAACCAGAAAGGGACGGCUAACUACGUGCCAGCAGCCGCGGUAAUUC